GGAGCUGCGAGCUCCGGGACUAGCUCCUUCUCGUCCAGACAGAAGACCAUCUCUUUCUUCGGCAGGAUAAAGGCGAGAGGCUCGUGGACAACGCUGACGUUCACAUGUCCAAGAUCUGUGCUAUCUGAGCUGGAGGAAAAAGGACUUGGAGACAGCGAUUUAAAUAAGGAACGAGGUCUUCCAGGAAGACAGUGCAGAACUGGAGGAAGAGCUCUUGCUCCCCACUGCUGAAGGCAGCCUCUUCAGAGCGAUGGAAGGCCAGGAUUACUUGAGUUACCUAAGAGAGAGGUACACCGUCAAUCACUGGGUUAGUCCAUCACCAUCAGCAGUGAUGCAGUUUUAAUUAACAUCCCUAAUCAGCUGACUUUGGAUUAAUCAAAAAGGUCAUGCUGGGUGGGCCUGACUUAAUCAGAUAAGCUUUCUUAAAAGACUGUAGACAUGCCCCCAGAAGAGACUCAGACAGGAGAGAUGUUCUCCCAUUGGCCCUGAAGAAUCAAAAAGCCACACUGUAAACUGCCCACAGAGUCAGGGGGUCUCUAGGAAUUGAGGACCUCAGUCCUACAACUGUAAGGAACUCUGAAUGAGCUUGAACGGAGGGGACCCCGAGCUCCAGAUGAAUCCACAGCUUGGCCAACACCUUGACUGCAACCUCGUGAGCAGAGGACCCACCCAGUUACGCUGUGCCUGGACUCCUGACCCACAGAAACUGAGAUGUGAUAAAUGUAAGUUGUUUUAAGUGGCUGUUUGUACGAUCUUAUUAUCUGGUAAAAGAAAACGAGUACAUUACUGAAUCAUUACUAUAGGUGAGCUUUGGAUUGUUCUAGAUCCCACAAAGGGAGACUAACCAGAGCUUCUCCACCAGAAAAAGCUCUGAAACUACACUAAACCUAAGUCAGCAGGCACCACUGUCUCAUGGGCUGGUUUGUUAGACAAGUCUGGCUGCCCGUUACUAAAGAAGGUGCUCACCUUGGCAAGGGCAUCCUCCAGGGCCCCAGUCACAUCUGGUGCCAGGGCCACAGGACAGCAGAGGCGCAGAUCAUUGAAGGCAACUAGAAUAUUGUUGAGGAAGCAGGCAAGGGGCGGGAAGUCUAAGAGCACCAUGGGCGGCUGUAGGGUCCCCGGCUGAGUGACGGGAAUUGGAGCAGGCAGGUUACUGCUGCCCAGGAUGGCUGGAGCCGAGAUGAAGGUGUAGGAGUUCAUUUCAUCCUGGAACUUCUCCACUGCUUCCUGAAUUGCUUUCUGGAAAGUGCUGAUAGCCACUCGCUGAAAAACAGGAGCCAACUGACCCCGGAAAUCAGCCCCUACCCGGCUGAAGGACAGCCCAAAGUACAUGCACUGGCCCAGCAGAGAGUCCAGACGGCUGCCUAUCCCUCGGUUGAGGUCAGCCUCCAGCAUCUGUAGGAACUGCGAGAUUUUCUGCAGCACCCAGCCAUGGAAGAUGGCACUCUCAUUAACAGUGUGCUCACCCACAGCAGGGGGCAGCAGUGGGUCCUCGUCUGAGAAGAUGGCACGGUACUGGGUGAUGAUAUCAAAUAGAUGGACACGGCAGGCCUCAAUGGUUUUCGUGAUAUGGAAAUAGGGGUCGUCAUUGGGGAUGGCAGUCAGGAUGGAACGGAGCCAAGCAUCUCGGGCCUGCAGAAACUUGACCCUCAACUCAGCCUCAGUGAAGAUAUCCAUUUGCCGGAGGAAGCCAAUGACACGGAGGCAGGCGGGGAGCUGGAUGUUGGUCCUCAGUUGUUGGAUCAGCUGGCUCAGCAUCAGUUGCAUAGACUGGCGCACUUCAUUCACAAUGCUCUGGCGAUACAGGGGGUGAGUGACCACGCUGAGACGGACAUUCCUGGAACCCAUUCAACUGCCCCGAACACCACAGACCAAUAUUUCCACUGCCUCCCCCAAAUGGGAAGUGGAUUUCCUAAGACUGCUGCACACAGGUUCGCCAACAGACAUUUGGUUCACUGUGGCCUACAGGCCCUGCCUGGUUCUCCUGCCCUCACAUGCUUCCUUAUGCUGUCCCCUUACUCACUGCAACCCAGUCAGAAUGGGUGUCUUUAAAUUUCUAAACCUCCCCGCUCCUGAGCCCUCUGUACUUGUUCUUACCAAUUUCUGGUUUGCUCUCCCCUACUCUUCCUGUGGCUGGCUUCUCAUCACCUGGGUCAUCAGCUUAAAUGUCAUUGCUCCAGAAGAGCCUUUCCUGACUACCUAGAAAAACCCACCUUAGUCUCCUUUCCCAUUCCAUGGUUUAAGACACUAAUUGAAAGGAUGCUAUUUAUUUGCCAACUAUCAGUUUAUAUUCAUGACAGCCUGUCUUUGUUCACAUUGUAUCCCCAGCACCUGGAAGAGAUGACUUCCAGGAACAUGAUUAAUAUUUAUCAGUUGAUUGAAUAAAUGAAUGUAUAUUUUAUGAUCAA